rnacentral:rRNA from 1 species
UCGAGCGGCAGCGCGGGGCAACCUGGCGGCGAGCGGCGAACGGGUGAGUAAUGCAUCGGAACAUGUCCAUGUCGUGGGGGAUAGCCCGGCGAAAGCCGGAUUAAUACCGCAUACGCCCGAGAGGGGAAAGCCGGGGACCGCAAGGCCUGGCGCGAUUGGGUUGGCCGAUGUCCGAUUAGCUAGUUGGCGGGGUAAGAGCCCACCAAGGCGAUGAUCGGUAGCUGGUCUGAGAGGAUGAUCAGCCACACUGGGACUGAGACACGGCCCAGACUCCUACGGGAGGCAGCAGUGGGGAAUUUUGGACAAUGGGGGAAACCCUGAUCCAGCCAUUCCGCGUGAGUGAAGAAGGCCUUCGGGUUGUAAAGCUCUUUUGUCCGGAACGAAACGGUGAGCGUGAAUAUCGCUCGCUACUGACGGUACCGGAAGAAUAAGCACCGGCUAACUACGUGCCAGCAGCCGCGGUAAUACGUAGGGUGCGAGCGUUA